rnacentral:rRNA from 1 species
UACAGAGGUCCCAAGCGUUGUUCGGAUUCACUGGGCGUAAAGGGUGCGUAGGUGGCCAGGUAAGUUUGAUGUGAAAGCUCGGAGCUUAACUCCGAAAUGGCAUUGAAUACUAUCUGGCUGGAGGGUCGGAGGGGAGACUGGAAUUCUCGGUGUAGCAGUGAAAUGCGUAGAUAUCGAGAGGAACACCAGUGGCGAAGGCGAGUCUCUGGACGACUCCUGACACUGAGGCACGAAAGCCAGGGGAGCAAACAGG